rnacentral:rRNA from 1 species
ACACGACUACAUUAGAUACCCGUGUAGUCCCAGCCGUAAACGAUGCGCGUUAGGUGUAUCGGUGACCACGAGUCACCGAGGUGCCGAAGGGAAACCGUGAAACGUGCCGCCUGGGAAGUACGGUCGCAAGGCUGAAACUUAAAGGAAUUGGCGGGGAGCACCACAACGGGUGGAGCCUGCGGUUUAAUUGGACUCAACGCCGGGAAGCUCACCGGAUAAGACAGCGGAAUGAUUGCCGGGCUGAAGACUCUGCAUGACUAGCUG